AUGCUUGUUGAGACAAACAAGCAUGAACAAUACUAUAUUGUUUACAAGCUUCUUAAGUUGGUAUUAAUUCUGCCAGUAGCUACUGCUAGUGUUGAAAGGGUGUUCUCUUCAAUGAACUAUGUGAAGAAUAAGCUAAGGAGCAAAAUGGGGAUUGAUUACUUGAACAAUUGUUUGGUUACAUUUGUUGAGAGAGAAUUCUUCAAUCAAGUAAAGGAUGAGGAUGUCAUCAAUCUCUUUCAAAAAGGCGAUCGCAAAGUUAUAUUGUAA
rnacentral:rRNA from 1 species